CAUUGAAACCCCGGUUUCCGUACGAUCACCGAAAUUAAGCAACGUCGAGUCUUGUCAGUACCUAGAUGAUUGACCAUUUGUGAAUAUCAGGUGUUGUGA